UAAUACGAAGGGGGCUAGCGUUGUUCGGAAUUACUGGGCGUAAAGGGCGCGUAGGCGGCCCUCCAAGUCAGAUGUGAAAGCCCCGGGCUUAACCUGGGAAUUGCAUUUGAGACUGUGGGGCUUGAGUUUCGGAGAGGUGGGUGGAAUUCCCAGUGUAGAGGUGAAAUUCGUAGAUAUUGGGAAGAACACCGGUGGCGAAGGCGGCCCACUGGACGAACACUGACGCUGAGGCGCGAAAGCGUGGGGAGCAAACAGGAUUAGAUACCCUGGUAGUCCACGCUGUAAACGAUGAGUGCUAGACGUUGGGGCCCUUAGGGUUUCAGUGUCGCAGCUAACGCAUUAAGCACUCCGCCUGGGGAGUACGGCCGCAAGGUUA
rnacentral:rRNA from 1 species